GUGGAACAGCUGCUACUCUCUGUCAGUCUGUCCUUGCCUCUUUUUCUGCUGUUUCACUUCAUUGCACACAGGCAGGUGAGUUAGCUGUGUAUCCCCAGAGGCCAGGUCUCGGGAAGAAUGGCGAAGUAGGAGAGGACGAAAAUAAUGCAGGGAAGUGGGUGUGAGAGUGAGGCAGGUACUGGAAGGUCUUGUGCACCUGUAGUGUUUUUGGCAGUGAUGGCUUUUCCAUAGGUGGUUUGCUGUUCUUGCAGAGGGCAGCGGAGCAUCUGCAGGAAGCGGACCUGCACAAUCUAGCUGUUUCGCUUUGCAGUGGAGCCGAGGAGCGCUCUUGUAAUGUUGGAGGAGCAGGUGCGUGUUUUUGUGAAAUGAUAUUUCUCUAUCCAGUAUCUGCAGAGUGAGGUGCCUCGUGGAGAGCAGAGAGAUGCUUCUCCUAUCCAUGGGAUGGGUCCUGGGGAAGGUCCAGCUCUGCCUGUGGCUGGCAGUGGUCUGGGAUUGUCCCUUUCCUGGAGGGCUGUAGCUCCUUAGGAGUGUCAUACUGAGAUUGGUCAGAUGAGAGAUCGGCCAACCUGUGGCAGAGACCAAGGAAGGAACAGCCACCCGGAGCCCAUCCCUAGGGAUGGAAGCCGGACAAUGAUCUGCAGAUACCACGGAGAAAGAAGUGAAGGGUAAGAGCCCACCCCCGUUGUGAGAUGGAAAACACCAAGAGCCGGGAGACCACAAGCAUUGUCGAUGCCAGCCUAUGGCGAUGCCGUCGAUCUGGG